rnacentral:rRNA from 1 species
UGGGGAAUAUUGGACAAUGGGGGCAACCCUGAUCCAGCAAUGCCGCGUGAGUGAUGAAGGCCUUAGGGUUGUAAAGCUCUUUCGCCCGAGACGAUGAUGACGGUAUCGGGAGAAGAAGCCCCGGCUAAUUCCGUGCCAGCAGCCGCGGUAAUACGGAAGGGGCUAGCGUUGUUCGGAAUUACUGGGCGUAAAGCGCGCGCAGGCGGCUCUGCAAGUGAGGCGUGAAAGGCCUGGGCUCAACCUGGGAAUGGCGCUUCAGACUGUUGGGCUUGAGUUCGGGAGAGGGUGGUGGAAUUCCCAGUGUAGAGGUGAAAUUCGUAGAUAUUGGGAGGAACACCGGUGGCGAAGGCGGCCACCUGGCCCGCAACUGACGCUAUAGCGCGAAAGCGUGGGGAGCAAA